GGAGGGGAGUUGGCAACAAAGGCCUAUUCUUCAGGGUUUAAAAAAGUUUGAAAACCCAUCCAACUUUCUUUUGUUAGAUGCUCCGGGAUGUUUCCCCUUUGGAGGCGCUCGAGAUACCUGGCUGAUAAAGGGCAGAUUCGUGGAGACUUAAUUAUGGCCCCAAGCCCUCCGUGUAAACAAUCGGGCCUGGUGACAACAGAAAUGCAAGCUCUCGUCAAGCAAGGACUGAUAAGGGGACCCUCAGAGAUGAGCAGAACCCGGAGGAGGGACUCACCACUUUUCUCAGCUGGGUGGUGAUGAUGGCCAAAGCCAUCUUUGAACAAGAGAAGCUGCUCGUAGGUGCUUUGGAUGACAAGCUGCCUCGAAGCUUCAAAGCCCCGUUCCUGCUGUAGGAAAUGCAGACCCCUUGGUCUGGCUUCUCCCGGCCAGAAGCCCAUCCACCUCCGCCCCCAGCUGGAGACAAGGUGAGGUCCCUGGGUGCGCCGCCUCUGGGCUGGGCUGCCUUCUGUCCUCACCAGCCACUCUGUCUGCGGGCCUGCCCCCUCCAUAGCCCGCUGUCCCUCUCCCAGGCCCGGUUCCUCACCCUCACCUGCCACCGUAGCAGCCUGUUUCCAGCUGGAACCUCCCUGAGGCUGGGAGAGACACCCUGACUCACACUAACUUCCGCACUGAAUCCAAAAGCAAAACGUUGUGGGAAGAACACCGAGCUUCAACUUCGUGUGCGCUCAUCCAAUCCUUUCCCUGCGCUAUAACUAUUCUUUAAAAUGCCAUCCAAGAGGUG